AUUCCAGCUCCAAUAGCGUAUAUUAAAGUUGUUGCAGUUAAAAAGCUCGUAGUUGAAUUUUGGACCUGGUUGAAUGGUCCCGCCGCAAGGUGGGUACUGUUUGAUUGGGUCUUUCUUUGCGGGGAAUUAGUGUGCUCUUAAUUGGGUGCAUUAAGGAUCCGUAACUUUUACUUUGAAAAAAUUAGAGUGUUUAAAGCAGGCUUAGGCCUGAAUACAUUAGCAUGGAAUAAUAGAAUAGGACCUGUGUUCUAUUUUGUUGGUUUCUAGGACGUAGGUAAUGAUUAAUAGGGACAGUUGGGGGCAUUAGUAUUUAGGUGUCAGAGGUGAAAUUCUUGGAUUGCUUAAAGACUAACUUCUGCGAAAGCAUUUGCCAAGGAUGUUUUCAUUA
rnacentral:rRNA from 1 species